rnacentral:rRNA from 1 species
AAUCAACGCUGGCGGCGUGCCUAACACAUGCAAGUCGAACGCGAAAGCCCCUUCGGGGGUAAGUAGAGUGGCGUCCGGGUGAGUAACACGUAGGUAAUCUACCUUCGGGUGGGGAAUAACUCGCCGAAAGGCGAGCUAAUACCGCAUAAUGCAGCGGCACCUAAUGGUGAUUAGUUGUUAAAGCGGGGGAUCGUAAGACCUCGCGCCUGAAGAGGAGCCUGCGGCAGAUUAGCUAGUUGGGAGGUAAUGGCUCACCAAGGCUUCGAUCUGUAGCUGGUCUGAGAGGACGGCCAGCCACACUGGCACUGACACACGGGCCAGACUCCUACGGGAGGCAGCAGUGGGGAAGUUUUGGGCAAUGGGCGCAAGCCUGACCCAGCAACGCCGUGUGA